rnacentral:rRNA from 1 species
AAAUUGAAGAGUUUGAUCAUGGCUCAGAUUGAACGCUGGCGGCAGGCCUAACACAUGCAAGUCGAGCGGAAACGAGUUAUCUGAACCUUCGGGGGAUGAUAACGGCGUCGAGCGGCGGACGGGUGAGUAAUGCCUAGGAAAUUGCCCUGAUGUGGGGGAUAACCAUUGGAAACGAUGGCUAAUACCGCAUAAUGCCUACGGGCCAAAGAGGGGGACCUUCGGGCCUCUCGCGUCAGGAUAUGCCUAGGUGGGAUUAGCUAGUUGGUGAGGUAAUGGCUCACCAAGGCGACGAUCCCUAGCUGGUCUGAGAGGAUGAUCAGCCACACUGGAACUGAGACACGGUCCAGACUCCUACGGGAGGCAGCAGUGGGGAAUAUUGCACAAUGGGCGCAAGCCUGAUGCAGCCAUGCCGCGUGUGUGAAGAAGGCCUUCGGGUUGUAAAGCACUUUCAGUCGUGAGGAAGGUAGUGUAGUUAAUAGCUGCAUUAUUUGACGUUAGCGACAGAAGAAGCACCGGCUAACUCCGUGCCAGCAGCCGCGGUAAUACGGAGGGUGCGAGCGUUAAUCGGAAUUACUGGGCGUAAAGCGCAUGCAGGUGGUUUGUUAAGUCAGAUGUGAAAGCCCGGGGCUCAACCUCGGAAUAGCAUUUGAAACUGGCAGACUAGAGUACUGUAGAGGGGGGUAGAAUUUCAGGUGUAGCGGUGAAAUGCGUAGAGAUCUGAAGGAAUACCGGUGGCGAAGGCGGCCCCCUGGACAGAUACUGACACUCAGAUGCGAAAGCGUGGGGAGCAAACAGGAUUAGAUACCCUGGUAGUCCACGCCGUAAACGAUGUCUACUUGGAGGUUGUGGCCUUGAGCCGUGGCUUUCGGAGCUAACGCGUUAAGUAGACCGCCUGGGGAGUACGGUCGCAAGAUUAAAACUCAAAUGAAUUGACGGGGGCCCGCACAAGCGGUGGAGCAUGUGGUUUAAUUCGAUGCAACGCGAAGAACCUUACCUACUCUUGACAUCCAGAGAACUUUCCAGAGAUGGAUUGGUGCCUUCGGGAACUCUGAGACAGGUGCUGCAUGGCUGUCGUCAGCUCGUGUUGUGAAAUGUUGGGUUAAGUCCCGCAACGAGCGCAACCCUUAUCCUUGUUUGCCAGCGAGUAAUGUCGGGAACUCCAGGGAGACUGCCGGUGAUAAACCGGAGGAAGGUGGGGACGACGUCAAGUCAUCAUGGCCCUUACGAGUAGGGCUACACACGUGCUACAAUGGCGCAUACAGAGGGCAGCAAGCUAGCGAUAGUGAGCGAAUCCCAAAAAGUGCGUCGUAGUCCGGAUUGGAGUCUGCAACUCGACUCCAUGAAGUCGGAAUCGCUAGUAAUCGUGGAUCAGAAUGCCACGGUGAAUACGUUCCCGGGCCUUGUACACACCGCCCGUCACACCAUGGGAGUGGGCUGCAAAAGAAGUAGGUAGUUUAACCUUCGGGAGGACGCUUACCACUUUGUGGUUCAUGACUGGGGUGAAGUCGUAACAAGGUAGCGCUAGGGGAACCUGGCGCUGGAUCACCUCCUUAAACGAUGAU